AUGUCAGGAUGUGGAAUCCUAGAGUCAGAGUCCUAUCUUCCUCUGAAUUCUGAAGCUUUCCUCUCUGUGCUGCCUGCUCUACCACUGACCACCAUGAAGGUUUUGGUGUUCCUGGCACUGGUGGCAGUUUCCACCUUCCUGGUUUCUGGCCAGGAUACAACAGAAGUUCCUGCUGAUUCUUCUCCUGGUGAGUUUGCACUUACGCUUCAUCUCCUUCUUACAGUGACCGUUUCCAUCCCAGUCUCAUGUCAGAGCUUGCACGAGAGACAGGUUAUAAGAAUUCUAUGA
rnacentral:lncRNA from 1 species